CGGGUUGUAAAGCUCUGUCGCCUGGGAAAAACGGCUAUUGGGGGAAAGUUCCAGUAGCGUGAUGGUACCAGGAGAGGAAGCACCGGCAAACUCUGUGC
rnacentral:rRNA from 1 species